rnacentral:rRNA from 1 species
UACAGAGGUCUCAAGCGUUGUUCGGAUUCAUUGGGCGUAAAGGGUGCGUAGGUGGCGCGGUAAGUCGGGUGUGAAAUUUCGGAGCUUAACUCCGAAACUGCAUUCGAUACUGCCGUGCUUGAGGACUGCAGAGGAGACUGGAAUUCCCGGUGUAGCGGUGAAAUGCGCAGAUAUCAGGAGGAACACCGGUGGCGAAGGCGGGUCUCUGGGCCGAUACUGACGCUGAGGAGCGAAAGCGUGGGGAGCAAACAGG